rnacentral:rRNA from 1 species
UGGGGAAUUUUCCGCAAUGGGCGAAAGCCUGACGGAGCAAUGCCGCGUGGAGGUGGAAGGCCUACGGGUCGUCAACUUCUUUUCUCGGAGAAGAAACAAUGACGGUAUCUGAGGAAUAAGCAUCGGCUAACUCUGUGCGAG